rnacentral:rRNA from 1 species
GAGAUUUUCGCAAUGCCCGAAAGGGUGACGAAGCGACGCCGCGUGCGGGAAGAAGGCCUUCGGGUUGUAAACCGCUGUCGGGAGUUAAGAAAUGUAAGGAUGUUAAUAGCAUCUUUGCUUGACUAAGGCUCCGGAGGAAGCCACGGCUAACUCUGUGCCAGCAGCCGCGGUAAUACAGAGGCGGCAAGCGUUGUUCGGAAUUAUUGGGCGUAAAGAGCACGUAGGCGGCUAUGUAAGUCGGUUGUGAAAGCCUUCCGCUCAACGGGAGAACAGCAUCCGAUACUGCAUGGCUUGAGUGCGGGAGGGGAGAGUGGAACUUCUGGUGGAGCGGUGAAAUGCGUAGAUAUCAGAAGGAACGCCGGCGGCGAAAGCGGCUCUCUGGCCCAUAACUGACGCUGAGUGUGCGAAAGCUAGGGGAGCAAACGGGAUUAGAUACCCCGGUAGUCCUAGCCGUAAACGAUGGGCACUGAGUAGAGGGGUUUUA